GGACCCGCACAAGUAGUGGAGCAUGUGGUUUAAUUCGAAGAUACGCGCAGAACCUUACCAACACUUGACAUGUUCGUCGCGACUUUAAGAGAUUAAAGUUUUCGGUUCGGCCGGACGAAACACAGGUGCUGCAUGGCUGUCGUCAGCUCGUGUCGUGAGAUGUUGGUUAAGUCCCGCAACGAGCGCAACCCUCACUUUUAGUUGCCAUCAUUAAGUUGGGCACUCUGAAAGAACUGCCAGUGAUAAGCUGGAGGAAGGUGGGGAUGACGUCAAGUCCUCAUGGCCCUUACGUGUUGGGCUACACACGUGCUACAAUGGCCGGUACAAAGGGCAGCGAAACCGCGAGGGUCAAG
rnacentral:rRNA from 1 species